GUGCCAGCAGCCGCGGUAAUACACGAGGGUGCGAGCGUUAAUCGGAAUUACUGGGCGUAAAGCGAGUGUAGGUGGCUCAUUAAGUCACAUGUGAAAUCCCCGGGCUUAACCUGGGAACUGCAUGUGAUACUGGUGGUGCUAGAAUGUGUGAGAGGGAAGUAGAAUUCCAGGUGUAGCGGUGAAAUGCGUAGAGAUCUGGAGGAAUACCGAUGGCGAAGGCAGCUUCCUGGCAUAAUAUUGACACUGAGAUUCGAAAGCGUGGGUAGCAAACAGGAUUAGAUACCCUGGUAGUCCACGCCGUAAACGAUGUCUACUAGCCGUUGGGGUCCUUGAGACUUUAGUGGCGCAGUUAACGCGAUAAGUAGACCGCCUGGGGAGUACGGCCGCAAGGUUAAAACUCAAAUGAAUUGACGGGGGCCCGCACAAGCGGUGGAGCAUGUGGUUUAAUUCGAUGCAACGCGAAGAACCUUACCUGGUCUUGACAUAGUGAGAAUCCUGCAGAGAUGCGGGAGUGCCUUCGGGAAUUCACAUACAGGUGCUGCAUGGCUGUCGUCAGCUCGUGUCGUGAGAUGUUGGGUUAAGUCCCGCAACGAGCGCAACCCUUUUCCUUACUUGCCAGCGGGUUAAGCCGGGAACUUUAAGGAUACUGCCAGUGACAAACUGGAGGAAGGCGGGGACGACGUCAAGUCAUCAUGGCCCUUACGACCAGGGCUACACACGUGCUACAUGGUAGGUACAGAGGGUUGCUACACAGCGAUGUGAUGCUAAUCUCAAAGGCUAUCGUAGUCCGGAUUGGAGUCUGCACUCGACUCCAUGAAGUCGAAUCCGCUAGUAAUCCGCGGGAUCAGAAUGGCCGGCGGGUGGAAUACGUUCUCGGGGCCUUUGCA
rnacentral:rRNA from 1 species